AGUCGAACGCUGAAGCCGACAGCUUGCUGUUGGUGGAUGAGUGGCGAACGGGUGAGUAACACGUGAGUAACCUGCCCCUGAUUUCGGGAUAAGCCUGGGAAACUGGGUCUAAUACCGGAUAUGACCAAUCUUCGCAUGAGGGUUGGUGGAAAGUUUUUCGAUCGGGGAUGGGCUCGCGGCCUAUCAGCUUGUUGGUGGGGUAAUGGCCUACCAAGGCGACGACGGGUAGCCGGCCUGAGAGGGCGACCGGCCACACUGGGACUGAGACACGGCCCAGACUCCUACGGGAGGCAGCAGUGGGGAAUAUUGCACAAUGGGGGAAACCCUGAUGCAGCGACGCAGCGUGCGGGAUGACGGCCUUCGGGUUGUAAACCGCUUUCAGCAGGGAAGAAGCGAAAGUGACGGUACCUGCAGAAGAAGUACCGGCUAACUACGUGCCAGCAGCGCGGGGUAAUA
rnacentral:rRNA from 1 species